GUCGGGAUAGCUCAGUUGGUAGAGCAGAGGACUGAAAAUCCUCCUCUC
rnacentral:tRNA from 1 species